rnacentral:rRNA from 1 species
GAUGAACGCUGGCGGCGUGCCUAAUACAUGCAAGUCGAGCGAACAGACGAGGAGCUUGCUCCUCUGACGUUAGCGGCGGACGGGUGAGUAACACGUGGAUAACCUACCUAUAAGACUGGGAUAACAUCGGGAAACCGGAGCUAAUACCGGAUAAUAUAUUGAACCGCAUGGUUCAAUAGUGAAAGACGGUUUUGCUGUCACUUAUAGAUGGAUCCGCGCCGCAUUAGCUAGUUGGUAAGGUAACGGCUUACCAAGGCAACGAUGCGUAGCCGACCUGAGAGGGUGAUCGGCCACACUGGAACUGAGACACGGUCCAGACUCCUACGGGAGGCAGCAGUAGGGAAUCUUCCGCAAUGGGCGAAAGCCUGACGGAGCAACGCCGCGGGAGUGAUGAAGGUCUUCGGAUCUUAAAACUCUGUUAUUAGGGAAGAACAAAUGGGUAAGUAACUAUGCACGUCUUGACGGUACCUAAUCAGAAAGCCACGGCUAACUACGUG